rnacentral:rRNA from 1 species
GACGAACGCUGGCGGCGUGCUUAACACAUGCAAGUCGAACGGAAAGGCCCUGCUUUUGUGGGGUGCUCGAGUGGCGAACGGGUGAGUAACACGUGAGUAACCUGCCCUUGACUUUGGGAUAACUUCAGGAAACUGGGGCUAAUACCGGAUAGGAGCUCCUGCUGCAUGGUGGGGGUUGGAAAGUUUCGGCGGUUGGGGAUGGACUCGCGGCUUAUCAGCUUGUUGGUGGGGUAGUGGCUUACCAAGGCUUUGACGGGUAGCCGGCCUGAGAGGGUGACCGGUCACAUUGGGACUGAGAUACGGCCCAGACUCCUACGGGAGGCAGCAGUGGGGAAUAUUGCACGAUGGGCGGAAGCCUGAUGCAGCAACGCCGCGUGCGGGAUGACGGCCUUCGGGUUGUAAACCGCUUUCGCCUGUGACGAAGCGUGAGUGACGGUAAUGGGUAAAGAAGCACCGGCUAACUACGUG